rnacentral:tRNA from 1 species
GGCCUAGUAGUUCAGUUGGUUAGAACGCCAGCCUGUCACGCUGGAGGUCGACGGUUCGAGUCCGUUCUAGGUCGCCA